CUUGCUGUUAUUGUGUGCACUUUUUUUCUUUGUAUACUUCCUGUAAAGAGUCAUCUAAUGUUUAAUGUUCCUUUUGUACAAAUUCUGUUUAAUUGAUAAUUUCUUAUUUUCUGCUCUGUUAAUAGUUUGCUAGACCCUGCAGGAGCCUCCUGUAUUUGAUUAGAGUUCAAUUUAGAGAGCAGAUGAUACAAAUGUUAAAGCAAGUUACUAUCUCAUUGAAAGUGAAACAUUUUUUUUCAUGCUUUAACGCUUUUAGCACUCAGACGAAACAUUAACCCCUUAAGAACCAAACUUCUGGAAUAAAAGGGAAUCAUGACAUGUCACACAUUUCAUGUGUCCUUAAGGGGUUAAACAGGUACUGUUACUCAUCUCAGUGGUACUUUCUGG